CCUGUUCUGCCAGCAGGUGGACGUCAAGACCUCAGGCGCAGGGCCCAAGGCUUUCAGCUUCUGAGAAGGCUGGGCCCUCAGCAUGUGGUGUCACCACAUUGCUGAGCAUGGCGACUGGGUUUGCUAACCAAAGGCUUACUCAGGUUUUCCAGGCACUCGGGGCCACCUGCUUGGCCUCUCUGCUGCAGUUUCACAGCCUUCCUGGACUCUCCCUGCCUUGGCUGAAGAGAACCCUCUUGUGGGUUCAUUGACAGGCCCAGCUGUGGGAAAGUGGGGGCCCCAAAGGACUUCCUGCCGCUUCACGUGACCCAGCCCUGCAGGCAACUCUGAUCUUCGCUGCAGGCCACUGCCUGAAAGCAUCUCAGCAGUCCUGCCCCAAGACUGCUCCCGCUUCUCCACUCUCAGGAUGGAGCCAGGCCUUGGAGGAGGAGGAGGAGGAGGAGGAGGAGGAGGAGAAAGAGGAGGAAGCCAGGCCUGCCCUGGGGCUCUAAGAGAGGAUGCAAAGCUGGUGAGUCAGCUCUGGACACAGCAGGAGCUGCUGUCAGAGGAGGAACCCACGGCAUCUCCCAGGGUGAAAGAGGUCACUUCUCCUCCAACGAAUCACAUUUGACAUCAUUCCAGUCAGCCCUGCAAUUGGGAGGUUUCUGAACUUGGAAUGGUAUUUCCAAUAUUGAUUUGGAGGAAUUUAUUUGGGAAGGACAAGUAAAAUUCGCCCAGAAAAAAAGUACAUUAGCAAGCAAAAGCUUGUAUUGUUAGAUUUCUUGAAUGCAUAUUUUAAGUCUGAAAUAAUUUCAACAGUACAAAGCUGGUGGCCAAACAGAUCCAAGACAAAUGGAAUAGAAAGUCCAGAUAUGGGUUUAUUCUUUCCUUACUUGCUUUCAGAGGAGUGGGUGCUGCCACUUAGAACCUCAAGUGGUAGAAGUUGUGUCACUCUUGGGGGCAAAGCAAGGGGCUACCCCAUCCCCUGCUACUGCUGGGCAAAGGCUGGGGUGAGGGGGGCACCAGCCCAGAGCCACAUUGCUCCACCUCUGGCAGGCUCCCCUAGUCUCAUGUCCCAUCACAUGGUGUUCAGUUGCUUAGCCAUCUUUUUUGUUUUUUUUUUCAAACUUUAAAUGUUUUAUAUGGUAUUGGGGUAUAGCCAAUUAAUAAGCUUUCCUGGUGGCUUAGACAGUAAAGAAUCUGCCUGUAAUUCAGGACAUCUGAGUUCGAUCCCUGGUUUGGGAAGAUCCCCUGGAGAAGGGAAUGGCUACCCACUCCAGUAUUCUUGCCUGGAGAAUUCCAUGGACAGAGGAGCCUGGCAGGUUACAGUCCAUGGGGUCGCAGAGUCGGACACGACUGACCAACUUUAACUCCUUUUUAACAGCAAACUAACAAUGCCGCGGUAGUUUCCGGUGAACAGCAAAGGGAUUCAGCCACACGUCUACAUGUAUCUGUUCUCCCCCACACUCCUCUCCCAUCCAGGCUGGCACAUAACGUUGAGUAGAGUUCCAUAUGCUGUAUAAUAGAUCCUUGUUAGUGAUCUGUUUUGAAGAUAGCAGUGUGUACACGACCUUCCCAAACUACCUAUCCCUUCUGCCAUUUUCCUUCUGGUCUUGAAUGCUUUGUCUAGCUGGGACCCUGAAAUGUGCCCAAGCUUUGUGGAUGCUUACUAGACAGCGCUUUUGGUUUCCUUUAAAGAUGCAAAGGAAAGGGUGAGAGAGGGUUGGGUGAAGAAGGAAGCCUCAGGUGUCAAGCUGUGAUGGGGGAGUAGAUGCAGCCAGUGAGAACCGAGGUCCUAUUUCCUGAGCAUCAUCUACACCCUCUCUCCCUGUACCACCGAGGUCGCGAUGCAGACUACAGAUGCAGGCUUUUGCCCUUGAGUAUAAGAGUAAGCAAUUUUCCUGAACAAAGGUUGCCACCUUUGCGGCAAUUCUGAGACAGGGAGUAAAGCAUAAAUCACGUGAUCCAGCAAUCACCCAAUUACUAUUUUUUUCUUCAGUGAGUAAUUACCAAGUGCCUGGGUGGGGGCAGGUUAGACAUUGUUCUGGGUGCUAAAAAUCAGCAUGUGAUUGAAACAAAGCCUUGACUGUCCCGAGGAGCUGGGAGUUCCUGGAGAAGGGGAACCAGUACAGAACAGGUGGCUGCGGAAAUGGAGACAUGUACAUCUGGCUAGGAAGCCCCAAACCGAAGGAUGUGGGUAGCAAUCAUGGAAGACUUCUUGGAUAAGGUGGCACUGGGGCAGAGGACUGAAGAAGUGCGAGGAUCCAUGCCCCGGGGCUAGCCAGAGAAGAAUGUUCCUGAACGUGGGCUCAGCAAAUGCAGAGGUGCAGAGGUGCAGAGGGUGUGUUGACUGCCCAAAGUAGAUCCGUUUUCACAUGACCUCUAUACAGCAAAAUUGUUGUGUAUGGAGGUGGUUGUGUACUGGUAAAGAACGUGCCUGCCAAUGCAGGAGACCCAAGAGACGUGGGUUCGAUCUCUGGGUUGGGAAGGUCUGCUAGAAAAGGAAAUGGCAAGCCACUUCAAUAUUCUUGCCUAAAAACUCCCGUGGGCAGAGGAGCCUGGUAGGUUACAGUCCAAAGGGUCACAAAGAGUCAGGUACGACUUAGCGAUUGAACGUUGACAGCACAUGAUACCUCUAAACAGCAAAUUUUUGUUAGUAAUCAUGUAACAAUUAGCACUCAUUUCCUUUUGUUAUUAAAGUAUCAUUGAUUUACAAUAUUGUGUUAGUUGCAG
ensembl:lncRNA